UCAUAUGCCAUCAGGUCAUCAGGCUCUUGGCCACCACCCUUUUCAUUCUGUAAAGAAAAGAAGGGAGAAAUCUUCUUGUAUUGCUCAACUCACUGAAAUACUACACGUGUCUUUUAUAUACAGAUAAAAAAGAGUGGGAAAAUUAAAAUUAAAAUUAUCUAAUCUCUAAUACGCCCCCCUCAAGCUGGAGCAUGAAUAUCAAUGAUGCCCAGCUUGGACAACAAGGCAGUAAACAAAGGGAAACCAAGCGAGUUGAGUUCUUGAAGGGACAUGAAAGGGUUGGAUGCGAUGUGAAUGGCAGCUUUGUUAUCACAGUAUAAUGAAGCAGCAGUUGGAGGAACUUGUAAAUCACAGAGCAAGGAGGAAAUCCAAACCAGUUCACAAACUGUGGUGGCCAUGGCAUGGUACUCUGCCUUAGCAGAGGAUCUUGAAACUAUAGCCUGUUGUUUGGACUUCCAGGAUACAAGAGAAUUACCAAGAAAAAUACAAAAACCAGUUAUGGAACGUCUAGUAUCAUUACAUCUAGCCCAAGCAAAAUCUGUGACUGCACUCAAGUGAAGAGAUGAAGUAGCAGGAAAGAAGAGGCCUUGACCUGGAGAGGAUUUCAAGUAUUGUAAUACCCUAUAUGCAGCAUGUAGAUGAGGUUGGCGAGGGGAGUCCAUAAAUUGGCUAGG